AUUGUACUCCCUCCGUCCCAUAUCAAGUGAUUCAAAUUUGUUCAAAUAUGAAUGUAUCUAUAUCCAAAAGGCGUUUAGAUACAUGUAAUAUUUCGUCACUUAAUAUGGGACGGAGGGAGUAUAUU
rnacentral:pre_miRNA from 1 species